rnacentral:rRNA from 1 species
AUUGAACGCUGGCGGCAGGCUUAACACAUGCAAGUCGAGCGGGGGAAGGUAGCUUGCUACCGGACCUAGCGGCGGACGGGUGAGUAAUGCUUAGGAAUCUGCCUAUUAGUGGGGGACAACAUCUCGAAAGGGAUGCUAAUACCGCAUACGUCCUACGGGAGAAAGCAGGGGAUCUUCGGACCUUGCGCUAAUAGAUGAGUCUAAGCCAGAUUAGCUAGUUGGUGGGGUAAAGGCCUACCAAGGCGACGAUCUGUAGCGGGUCUGAGAGGAUGAUCCGCCAAACUGGGACUGAGACACGGCCCAGACGCCCACGGGAGGCAGCAGGGGGGAAUAGUGGACAAUGGGGGGAACCCUGAUCCAGCCAUGCCGCGUGUGUGAAGAAGGCCUUAUGGUUGUAAAGCACUUUAAGCGAGGAGGAGGCUACUUUAGUUAAUACCUAGAGAUAGUGGACGUUACUCGCAGAAUAAGCACCGGCUAACUCUGUGCCAGCAGCCGCGGUAA